UACGGAAGGCAGCAGUGGGGAAUAUUGCACAAUGGGCGCAAGCCUGAUGCAGCCAUGCCGCGUGUAUGAAGAAGGCCUUCGGGUUGUAGAGUACUUUCAGUCGUGAGGAAGGUGUUAAGGUUAAUAACCUUAGCAAUUGACGUUAGCGACAGAAGAAGCACCGGCUAACUCCGUGCCAGCAGCCGCGGUAAUACGGAGGGUGCGAGCGUUAAUCGGAAUUACUGGGCGUAAAGGGCACGCAGGCGGUUAAUUAAGUUGGAUGUGAAAUCCCCGGGCUUAACCUGGGAAUGGCAUUCAAGACUGGUUAGCUAGAGUCUUGUAGAGGGGGGUAGAAUUCCAUGUGUAGCGGUGAAAUGCGUAGAGAUGUGGAGGAAUACCGGUGGCGAAGGCGGCCCCUGGGACAAAGACUGACGCUCAUGUGCGAAAGCGUGGGGAGCAAACAGGAUUAGAUACC
rnacentral:rRNA from 1 species